GGAGAAACAAUUGUGACAAAAUGGAAUAAUUGCUCUAAAAGAGGAGCAAGUCUUAGGAAGACACAGUAGAGGACAUGCUUAAAUCUGCCUGAGGAUCAGAGAGGGGAAUUCAGUCUUGAAAGACAUUGGGAAUUGACUAAGCCCAAAAGAGGAGGAAGAACUUGGAAGAAAAGGGUAAUCUCUGUCCUCUACUCUGUCACACGUUGUCACCUGGGUAACCCACACAGUGCUGCCUAACCUCUGCAUGUGAAGUUGACCGUUGUGAAGGUUGAGAGCCCAUUUCAUCUUCCAACACCUGCAAAACUGUCAACAGCCAGAUUCACCGCCAG
rnacentral:lncRNA from 1 species